AUACGGAGGGUGCAAGCGUUGCUCGGAAUCACUGGGCGUAAAGCGUACGCAGGCGGUUUACUAAGUCGGGUGUGAAAGCCCAGGGCUCAACCCUGGAACUGCAUUCGAAACUGGUAGACUCGAGUACGGGAGAGGAGAGCGGAAUUCCUGGUGUAGAGGUGAAAUUCGUAGAUAUCAGGAGGAACACCCGUGGCGAAAGCGGCUCUCUGGCCCGAUACUGACGCUCAUGUACGAAAGCGUGGGUAGCAAACAGGAUUAGAAACCCCAGUAGUCC
rnacentral:rRNA from 1 species